rnacentral:rRNA from 1 species
CCUACGGGUGGCAGCAGUGGGGAAUUUUGCGCAAUGGGGGAAACCCUGACGCAGCAACGCCGCGUGCGGGACGAAGGCCCUCGGGUCGUAAACCGCUUUCAGCAGGGAAGACCACGACGGUACCUGCAGAAGAAGCUCCGGCUAACUCCGUGCCAGCAGCCGCGGUAAUACGUAGGGGGCGAGCGUUAUCCGGAUUCAUUGGGCGUAAAGCGCGCGUAGGCGGCCGCCUAAGCGGAACCUCAAACCCUGGGGCUCAACCUAGGGCCGGGUUCGGGACUGGGCGGCUUGAGGGCGGUAGAGGAGGGCGGAAUUCCCGGGGUAGCGGUGGAAUGCGCAGAUAUCGGGAAGAACACCGAUGGCGAAGGCAGCUCUCUGGGCCGUCACUGACGCUGAGGCGCGAAAGCUGGGGGAGCGAACAGGAUUAGAUACCCCUGUAGUC